ensembl:lincRNA
CGAGGUUUGAUGAAUCAGUAGAUGGAUAAGUAGAUAGAUACCACAUAUUCGUUCUGUGUCCUUGGAGAACCCUGACUAGUUCUCAGGCAAUAUUGGAGGAUGGAAGUGGGAUAGAGGGGUUCAACACUCAGGUGCCCCUGAGCAGGAGGCAUGCCAGGAUCUGGAAACAGACAUGCAAGGAGAGAAGUUGAGACUGAGGUAGGUGGUUGAUGAGCCCCUGAGCUGCACAGCUGAUGUUUGUCAAGUGCAGUGAAAUUAAGGCUUUAUUCUCGCUCACAUCCCAAGGACAAAGCUAGUGGCAGAAGUGAGCUUUGCUGAAGUAAAGGGAUAAGGUACCCACUCUGAGGUCAAGGAAGACUUCCCUGUCUGCACACACACAGGAAGGAUCCUUGGAGGUCAAAGAGGGAGGGGGCCCCACCCCAUAAUAAGUGUGGACAUGCACCCACAGGCCUCUGCGAUGGGAUCCAUCUUAGCAAAAAGCUGUACAUGCAUGCAUGAGGAGGGUCCUAGGACCAGAAAGCUGUCAGGAACAGAAACAAGGUUCAGAGCUGAAAGGGUUAACUCCUUUGGGCCUGCUGGCGUAAUAAACCUGAGUUUUCCAACUCUCCCAGUAAAAGGGACUUCUGAAACAACACACCGGAUUUAAAUCACCUGUUUAUUGUACUCCUCAUUCAGAAUGCCUGCACUUCUCUCUGGGUUUCCCAGAUUCAAUUCCUGUACAGGGAACUGAGAUUUCUCUUCAGAACCGUUCACUGCUGUCUCUUCGAGAUCACGAUUAGGCCAGAUGUCUCCAGUGGGUGGGGCCUCUGGUGGUACAAUGAAUAAAUGAAUAAAUACCAGUCCUAUGUAAAUUUCUCAGCAAUGAAAUAGAGCUGGGGAAGAUUAGCCAAGAUUACACUAUUUAUAAGCAUGGGUUUUAAACACAUUAUUAUUAAAGAGUAUAACUGCAGAGAGGGCUUCCUGGAAGGUUCAUUAACUUGGGCAGAGUGAAACAAAAAUAGCAACACUUUAUUUGUAUUGCUGGGAAAUGAGUCAGAGAUUACAAUCUGAAGUUCAAAGCUAAACAUCAGGAUCCUGGAAUUGUAUGCACAAUUUUAUCUCUAUGGAGAUAUACAACUUUUUUCUAGAAAGAAGGUCCUAGAUUCUAAAAGUUAAAAACUACCGAUCAUAUGAUUUGUUUUCUUGAUAAAUAAAAUUAUCCCUCUCCUUUAGGACAACUUAAAAAAUAUCAUCUUUGUGAAAAAAUCUCUCUCCUACAGAGUAUGACAUCUGUCCUUGAGUUCAUAAAGAGAGUAGACUGAAUAUAAAUAAACUUAUAAAUAAAUAAGAUAUACUGACUGACCAGGUAAAGUGACUAAUCAUUAUGGUUUGGAAAUAUUCAUAAGUUUUUUUAAAAGAUACUUUUAUUUCUUUAUUUGGUUGUGUUGAGCCUCGGCUGCCGCAUGCAGAAUCUUUAUUGUGGGAUGCGAGCUCUAGAGUUUCUGGGCUCAGUAUUUGUGACACAUGGGCUUAGUUGCUCCUCGGCAUGUGGAAUCUUACUUCCCUGAUCAAGAUCAAACCCAUGCCCUCUGUGC